rnacentral:tRNA from 1 species
GGAGUUGUGCCUGAAAUAAAGGAUCCCUUUGAUAGAGUGAAUCAUGAGGGUUAAAUUCCCUCCAACUCCU